rnacentral:rRNA from 1 species
UACGGAGGAUCCGAGCGUUAUCCGGAUUUAUUGGGUUUAAAGGGUGCGCAGGCGGAAGAUUAAGUCGGCGGUGAAAUUUUGCAGCUCAACUGUAAAAGUGCCAUCGAUACUGGUUUUCUUGAGUGUGGAUGAAGUAGGCGGAAUUUGUGGUGUAGCGGUGAAAUGCAUAGAUAUCACGAGGAACUCCGAUUGCAUAGGCAGCUUACUAAACCAUAACUGACGCUCAUGCACGAAGGCGUGGGGAUCAAACAGGAUUAGA